GGCCCAUGCUCGCGCGCAGGGAGGAGCGGGGAGUUGUUAACGGUUCUAACCGUCACGUUUCCCUCUCCUCAGACCUCCCCCUGAGGGAGCGCGAGACUGGGCUUUCCUGGAGGCAGAGGCUGGUCCUGGUCUCCCCAGAAGAGGCAGCCCGCGUGCAGCGCCUGGCUCUGCCACUCACCCCACCGUCUGAGGCCUGCCUGGGCCCACAGUGCUCCCCCAAAGUUACAGCCCCUUGGUUGCUAAAUUUUUGUUUAUGCUGAGAUCUUGUAUACUGGACUCCUGACAUCACCAAAGCAAGAGUCUGUCCACGUGGCAAAAGGGACCACAUCUGCAUGAGUUCUAUGCAGAGGACACAAUGUUUGCAGAAUGGGAAUGUUUCACUUUUUUAUUUGCACAUCUUCUCCACACCAAAAUAAAGAGGAGACUGCAGUACUUCAAAUGUACAAAAAUCACUAUGCCUAGGCAAUUU